rnacentral:rRNA from 1 species
CGAGUUUGAUCCUGGCUCAGAACGAACGCUGGCGGCAGGCCUAACACAUGCAAGUCGAGCGAACCCUUCGGGGUUAGCGGCGGACGGGUUAGUAACGCGUGGGAAUAUACCCUUUGGUACGGAAUAGCCUCGGGAAACUGAGAGUAAUACCGUAUGUGCCCUUCGGGGAAAGAUUUAUCGCCAAAGGAUUAGCCCGCGUUGGAUUAGAUAGUUGGUGGGGUAAUGGCCUACCAAGUCUACGAUCCAUAGCUGGUUUGAGAGGAUGAUCAGCAACACUGGGACUGAGACACGGCCCAGACUCCUACGGGAGGCAGCAGUGGGGAAUCUUAGACAAUGGGCGCAAGCCUGAUCUAGCCAUGCCGCGUGGACGAUGAAGGCCUUAGGGUUGUAAAGUCCUUUCAGAUGGGAAGAUAAUGACGGUACCAUCAGAAGAAGCCCCGGCUAACUCCGUG